CCAAUAGCGUAUAUUAAAGUUGUUGCAGUUAAAAAGCUCGUAGUUGAAUUUCGGGAUCAGUUGGUCGGUCGUGCUUAGGUACGUACUGGUCAAAUUGAUUCCUACCUUCUGAAGAACCACGAUGUCAUUAAUUUGGUGUCGUGGGGAAUCAGGACUGUUACUUUGAAAAAAUUAGAGUGUUUAAAGCAGGCUCGCGCUUG
rnacentral:rRNA from 1 species